rnacentral:rRNA from 1 species
UAGGGAAUAUUGGACAAUGGGGGCAACCCUGAUCCAGCCAUGCCGCGUGAGUGAAGAAGGCCCUCGGGUUGUAAAGCUCUUUUGUCCGGAAAGAAAAGCAUUCGGUGAAUACCCGGAUGUUCUGACGGUACCGGAAGAAUAAGCACCGGCUAACUUCGUGCCAGCAGCCGCGGUAAUACGAAGGGUGCAAGCGUUACUCGGAAUUACUGGGCGUAAAGCGUGCGUAGGUGGUUGUUUAAGUCUGAUGUGAAAGCCCUGGGCUCAACCUGGGAAUUGCAUUGGAAACUGGGCAGCUAGAGUGCGGUAGGGGGUAGUGGAAUUCCCGGUGUAGCAGUGAAAUGCGUAGAGAUCGGGAGGAACAUCUGUGGCGAAGGCGACUGCCUGGACCAGCACUGACACUGAGGCACGAAAGCGUGGGGAGCAAACA